ACAUCAGCUAGCAGAGCUGCUUUUUAUGGAGGAAGAGAUUACAUUUUCAAACGAGGAAGGCAUUGUUUCACUGCGCCUGGAAAUUGCAAAAAUGCUAUUAAGAGAAACUGAUGACCUUUCACAGCUCUGUCAUUCAUGUGGAGAUCAUCAUAGGCACAAAGACCAAACUGUGCAAUGGAUUGAAUGUACAGAAUGUGAAAGGUGGUACCAUUGGGACUGUGUGGGUAGACCUUCCACUGUUGGCAAAUAUAGCUGCCCUGCA